rnacentral:rRNA from 1 species
UACAGAGGCCUCGAGCGUUAGGCGGAAUCACUGGGCUUAAAGCGUGUGUAGGUGGAUGCCUAAGUACCUUGUGAAAUCCCACGGCUUAACCGUGGAACUGCUGGGUAUACUGGGUGUCUUGAGCCACUCAGGGGCUACUGGAACAAACGGUGGAGCGGUGAAAUGCGUAGAUAUCGUUUGGAACGCCAAUGGUGAAAACAGGUAGCUGGGGGUGUGCUGACACUGAGACACGAAAGCCAGGGGAGCAAACGGG